UCGAAGCCUAGAAAGCACGACCGCGAACGAGUUUUCAAACGGGGAAUGGAUGGGAGGCCCUAGGCGUCCCGUUGCCACCCCCACUCGGUCGGCGAGGGGCCUUGCGUUCCUUGCCUUCCGAAACUAACGAACCCCGGCGCGGCAAGCGCCAAGGAAUCCAAACGAAAGAACUUGUCCCUCGGGCCCGUCCUCGGGCCGGAGGGGCACAGGUCUGUUCUAAUAUGUCGUAACGACUCUCGGCAACGGAUAUCUCGGCUCUCGCAUCGAUGAAGAACGUAGCGAAAUGCGAUACUUGGUGUGAAUUGCAGAAUCCCGUGAAUCAUCGAGUCUUUGAACGCAAGUUGCGCCCGAAGCCUUUAGGCCGAGGGCACGUCUGCCUGGGCGUCAUGCGCCGCGAUGCCCCCCACCAAGUGGGGAGCGAAGUUUGGCCUCCCGUGAGCCCAUCUCGCGGAUGGCUUAAAAACGAGCCUCGAGACGGUGAGACGUCGCGACAAGUGGUGGUUAAAGGGCCUCGUGCCUUCGAUCUUAGCGUGUCGUGCGCCCGCCCCCUCUAUCGCUUCCGAAGUAACCCCGAACGGAGCGCGUCCUUCGCGCUGCCAGCAUC
rnacentral:misc_RNA from 1 species